AUGGAGAAGUACGAGAAGCUGGAGAAGGUCGAGGAGGGCACCUACGGCAAGGUGUACAAGGCGCAGGACAAGGCGACGGGCCAGGUGGUGGCGCUCAAGAAGACCCACCUGGAGUUAGACGAGGAAGGGAUCCCGACCACCGCGCUCCUUGAGAUUUCCCUCCUCCGCCUCCUCUCCAGCUCCCUCUACAUCAUCCGCCUCCUCGCCAUCGAGCAGGCCACCAAGGGCGGGAAGCCCGUCCUCUACCUCAUCUUCGAGUUCCUUGACACUGACCUCAAGAAGUUUGUCGACGCCUACUGUCGUGGGCCUGCCCCUAAGCCGCUCCCAACUCAGGUCGUCAAGAGUUUUUUGUAUCAGUUAUGCAAAGGAAUUGCACACUGCCAUGGCCAUGGUGUCCUUCAUCGGGAUUUAAAGCCCCAAAAUCUAUUGGUUGACAAGGAGAAGAUGAUACUGAAAAUUACAGAUCUUGGGUUAAGUAGAGCUUUUACUGUUCCUAUGAAAAGCAGAUCUUGGGCUAACGUACAGCGACGGUGCUGCUGCACUUGUGCUAGUCAAUGGGGAGAAAGCUAG
rnacentral:rRNA from 1 species